GACGAAAGCUGGCGGCGUGCUUAACACAUGCAAGUCGAACGAAGUGGCGAACGUGUGAGUAACGCGUAAUCAACCUGCCCUUCAGAGGGGGACAACAGUUGGAAACGACUGCUAAUAACGCAUACUGAAGGAGGGGAUUGCGUCUGAUUAGCUAGUUGGAGGGGUAACGGCCCACCAAGUCGAUUCUCAGUAGCCGGUCUUAGAUGAUGAACUGCCACACUGGGACUGAGACACGGCCCAGACUCCUACGGGAGGCAGCAGGUGGGAAUCUUCCGCAAUGGACGAAAGUCUGACGGAGCAACGCCGCGUGAGUGAUGACGGCUUUCGGGUUGUAAAGCUCUGUUAAUCGGGACGCGUUACCGGAAUAGAACGCCACGGCUAACUACGUGCCAGCAGCCGCGGUAAUAC
rnacentral:rRNA from 1 species